rnacentral:tRNA from 1 species
UAGCUCAGUUGGGAAAGAAUCUGCCUGCAAUGCAGGAGACCUGGGUUCAAAUCCUAG